rnacentral:rRNA from 1 species
CCGAUCCCCGACCGGCUGCCCCCGGCAUCCUCACGUCCCGUCACGCGGGGUGAGUCACUUUCCUCCGUCUCUGCUGCGGCGGCGAGGGUGUCGAUGUGGCGAUGGUCUGUAAAAACCUGUUCGCAGGGGGGCGCAGGGCCGGGACUUGCCACCUGACGCCGCUCGUUUCCUCACCCGUUGGGGGGGCGAGCGUACUACUAGUCGGUAAGUACCAUGAGCAGGCAUGUUGGGACCCGAAAGAUGGUGAACUAUGCCUGGCCAGGAUGAAGCCAGAGGAAACUCUGGUGGAGGUCCGUAGCGAUUCUGACGUGCAAAUCGAUCGUCAGAGCUGGGUAUAGGGGCGAAAGACUAAUCGAACCAUCUAGUAGCUGGUUCCCUCCGAAGUUUCCCUCAGGAUAGCUGGAACUCGCACACCAAUGAAUUUCAUCCGGUAAAGCGAAUGAUUAGAGGUCUUGGGGACGAAACGUCCUCAACCUAUUCUCAAACUUUAAAUGGGUGAGAUGCCGAGCUUGCUUAAAAGCUGAAGCUUCGGCGACGAAUCAGAGUUACCUAGUGGGCCACUUUU